AUUUUGGUGAUGGUUAUGACUGAACCAACCCGACGAGGUUCACCGGAGAAGACAACCGGUCCUUGGCCGCCGGUGGUGUGCUGGAUGGUUCUAAGCCAUAUGAUCCUUUUAAAAUGAUUUAAUCUCGUGCGUUCUUUUUGAAUACCAUGCCUGUUGCACACUGACUUGAGUGCACGGUGGAAUGUGUGUUUUGAUCCACUUGAUCU
rnacentral:lncRNA from 1 species